GGUUAAGUUAGAAAGGGCGCACGGUGGAUGCCUUGACACUAGGAGUCGAUGAAGGACGGGACUAACGCCGAUAUGCUUCGGGGAGCUGUAAGUAAGCUUUGAUCCGAAGAUUUCCGAAUGGGGAAACCCACCAUACGUAAUGGUAUGGUAUCCUUAUCUGAAUACAUAGGGUAAGGAAGACAGACCCAGGGAACUGAAACAUCUAAGUACCUGGAGGAAGAGAAAGCAAAUGCGAUUUCCUGAGUAGCGGCGAGCGAAACGGAACAUAGCCCAAACCAAGAGGCUUUGCUCUUGGGGUUGUAGGACAUUCUAUACGGAGUUACAAAGGAACGAGGUAGACGAAGCGACCUGGAAAGGUCCGUCGUAGAGGGUAACAACCCCGUAGUCGAAACUUCGUUCUCUCUUGAAUGUAUCCUGAGUACGGCGGAACACGUGAAAUUCCGUCGGAAUCUGGGAGGACCAUCUCCCAAGGCUAAAUACUCCCUAGUGAUCGAUAGUGAACCAGUACCGUGAGGGAAAGGUGAAAAGCACCCCGGAAGGGGAGUGAAAGAGAUCCUGAAACCGUGUGCCUACAAAUAGUCAGAGCCCGUUAACGGGUGAUGGCGUGCCUUUUGUAGAAUGAACCGGCGAGUUACGAUCCCGUGCGAGGUUAAGCUGAAGAGGCGGAGCCGCAGCGAAAGCGAGUCUGAAUAGGGCGUUUAGUACGUGGUCGUAGACCCGAAACCAGGUGAUCUACCCAUGUCCAGGGUGAAGUUCAGGUAACACUGAAUGGAGGCCCGAACCCACGCACGUUGAAAAGUGCGGGGAUGAGGUGUGGGUAGCGGAGAAAUUCCAAUCGAACCUGGAGAUAGCUGGUUCUCCCCGAAAUAGCUUUAGGGCUAGCCUUAAGUGUAAGAGUCUUGGAGGUAGAGCACUGAUUGGACUAGGGGUCCUCAUCGGAUUACCGAAUUCAGUCAAACUCCGAAUGCCAAUGACUUAUCCUUAGGAGUCAGACUGCGAGUGAUAAGAUCCGUAGUCAAAAGGGAAACAGCCCAGACCGCCAGCUAAGGUCCCAAAGUGUGUAUUAAGUGGAAAAGGAUGUGGAGUUGCUUAGACAACUAGGAUGUUGGCUUAGAAGCAGCCACCAUUUAAAGAGUGCGUAAUAGCUCACUAGUCGAGUGACUCUGCGCCGAAAAUGUACCGGGGCUAAAUACACCACCGAAGCUGCGGAUUGAUACCAAUGGUAUCAGUGGUAGGGGAGCGUUCUAAGGACAGUGAAGUCAGACCGGAAGGACUGGUGGAGUGCUUAGAAGUGAGAAUGCCGGUAUGAGUAGCGAAAGACGGGUGAGAAUCCCGUCCACCGAAUGCCUAAGGUUUCCUGAGGAAGGCUCGUCCGCUCAGGGUUAGUCAGGACCUAAGCCGGGCCGACAGGCGUAGGCGAUGGACAACAGGUUGAUAUUCCUGUACCACCUCUUUAUCGUUUGAGCAAUGGAGGGACGCAGAAGGAUAGAAGAAGCGUGCGAUUGGUUGUGCACGUCCAAGCAGUUAGGCUGAUAAGUAGGCAAAUCCGCUUAUCGUGAAGGCUGAGCUGUGAUGGGGAAGCUCCUUAUGGAGCGAAGUCUUUGAUUCCCCGCUGCCAAGAAAAGCUUCUAGCGAGAUAAAAGGUGCCUGUACCGCAAACCGACACAGGUAGGCGAGGAGAGAAUCCUAAGGUGUGCGAGAGAACUCUGGUUAAGGAACUCGGCAAAAUGACCCCGUAACUUCGGGAGAAGGGGUGCUUUCUUAACGGAAAGCCGCAGUGAAUAGGCCCAAGCGACUGUUUAGCAAAACACAGCUCUCUGCGAAGCCGUAAGGCGAAGUAUAGGGGUGACACCUGCCCGGUGCUGGAAGGUUAAGGAGAGGGGUUAGCGUAAGCGAAGCUCUGAACUGAAGCCCCAGUAAACGGCGGCCGUAACUAUAACGGUCCUAAGGUAGCGAAAUUCCUUGUCGGGUAAGUUCCGACCCGCACGAAAGGUGUAACGAUUUGGGCACUGUCUCAACCAGAGACUCGGUGAAAUUAUAGUACCUGUGAAGAUGCAGGUUACCCGCGACAGGACGGAAAGACCCCGUGGAGCUUUACUGUAGCCUGAUAUUGAAUUUUGGUACAGUUUGUACAGGAUAGGCGGGAGCCUUUGAAACCGGAGCGCUAGCUUCGGUGGAGGCUGGUGGGAUACCGCCCUGACUGUAUUGAAAUUCUAACCUACGGGUCUUAUCGACCCGGGAGACAGUGUCAGGUGGGCAGUUUGACUGGGGCGGUCGCCUCCUAAAGUGUAACGGAGGCGCCCAAAGGUUCCCUCAGAAUGGUUGGAAAUCAUUCGUAGAGUGCAAAGGCAUAAGGGAGCUUGACUGCGAGACCUACAAGUCGAGCAGGGACGAAAGUCGGGCUUAGUGAUCCGGUGGUUCCGCAUGGAAGGGCCAUCGCUCAACGGAUAAAAGCUACCCCGGGGAUAACAGGCUUAUCUCCCCCAAGAGUCCACAUCGACGGGGAGGUUUGGCACCUCGAUGUCGGCUCAUCGCAUCCUGGGGCUGUAGUCGGUCCCAAGGGUUGGGCUGUUCGCCCAUUAAAGCGGUACGCGAGCUGGGUUCAGAACGUCGUGAGACAGUUCGGUCCCUAUCCGUCGUGGGCGUAGGAAAUUUGAGAGGAGCUGUCCUUAGUACGAGAGGACCGGGAUGGACGCACCGCUGGUGUACCAGUUGUUCUGCCAAGGGCAUAGCUGGGUAGCUAUGUGCGGAAGGGAUAAGUGCUGAAAGCAUCUAAGCAUGAAGCCCCCCUCAAGAUGAGAUUUCCCAUAGCGUAAGCUAGUAAGAUCCCUGAAAGAUGAUCAGGUUGAUAGGUUCGAGGUGGAAGCAUGGUGACAUGUGGAGCUGACGAAUACUAAUAGAUCGAGGACUUAACCAU
rnacentral:rRNA from 1 species